GGAUAACAGUUAGAAAUGACUGCUAAUACCGCAUAAGCGCACAAAACUGCAUGGUUUGGUGUGAAAAACUGAGGUGGUAUGAGAUGGACCCGCGUCUGAUUAGCUAGUUGGAGAGGUAACGGCUCACCAAGGCAACGAUCAGUAGCCGACCUGAGAGGGUGACCGGCCACAUUGGGACUGAGACACGGCCCAAACUCCUACGGGAGGCAGCAGUGGGGAAUAUUGCACAAUGGGGGAAACCCUGAUGCAGCAACGCCGCGUGAGUGAAGAAGUAUUUCGGUAUGUAAAGCUCUAUCAGCAGGGAAGAAGAGAGACGGUACCUGACUAAGAAGCCCCGGCUAACUACGUGCCAGCAGCCGCGGUAAUACGUAGGGGGCAAGCGUUAUCCGGAUUUACUGGGUGUAAAGGGAGCGUAGACGGCUUGAUAAGUCUGAAGUGAAAGGCCAAGGCUUAACCAUGGAACUGCUUUGGAAACUAUGAGGCUAGAGUGCUGGAGAGGUAAGCGGAAUUCCUAGUGUAGCGGUGAAAUGCGUAGAUAUUAGGAGGAACACCAGUGGCGAAGGCGGCUUACUGGACAGAAACUGACGUUGAGGCUCGAAAGCGUGGGGAGCAAACAGGAUUAGAUACCCUGGUAGUCCACGCGGUAAACGAUGAAUGCUAGGUGUUGGUGGGCAAAGCCCAUCGGUGCCGUCG
rnacentral:rRNA from 1 species